GCACCGGAUAAGCUUCCUGACACGGGAGAACUGGCGUGCCUGCCUUUGGUAAGGGUCCCUGCCUCAGGGAAAUGGGUUUUGGACUCUGCUACUGAACGGAGGAGCCUUCCCACGGUGUGAAAUUAAAGGAAUGACCCUGCGAUGGAAGAGGGGACUGAAGGAAGAAGACGAGGCUCCAUGCUCGACAGGGAGUGGCAAAUCCUUUAGAAAGAGAAUUUGCUGUGUCAGGUGUACAACCCAGGGAACGUUUGCUGUUGUCCUGGAAGCUGGAGAGGCAGAUGCCAAAUGUCAUCCUGGUAUUAAUGAUCUCUGAGAGCUAUGGGCUGCGGCACACUGAAAGCUAAUGGGUGAAACCGCUGGCUAAUCAAGCCUGUAUGGCUAUGACAAGAACCAACAGGUCAUUCAGGACCUUCUUCACAAAAUUUUACAUGCAUUAACUGUU